rnacentral:misc_RNA from 1 species
AACGCAUAUUGCGCCCUCUGGUAUUCCGGGGGGCAUGCCUGUCCGAGCGUCAUUACUAUCUUCAAGCACGGCUUGUGUGUUGAGCAUUUUGUUCCAUUUUCAGUGAACAAGGCUUGAAAUGCAGUGGCGAUGCCUUAAAUUGGUUGCCUGAACGUAUAGGGCUAUGUCACACGUUCUUGUGGCUCCAGUUGUGCAUCUUGUUCCAACUUCUAAAACAUCUCGAAUUGACCUCGGAUCAGGUAGGAAUACCCGCUGAACUUAA